CAAGUAGUCAUAUGCUUGUCUCAAAGAUUAAACCAUACAUGUGUAAGUAUGAACUAUUUCAUACUGUGAAACUGCGAAUGGCUCAUUAAAUCAGUUAUAGUUUGUUUGAUGGUACGUGCUACUCGGAUAACCGUAGUAAUUCUAGAGCUAAUACGUGCAACAAACCCCGACUUCCGGAAGGGAUGCAUUUAUUAGAUAAAAGGCUAACAUGGGCUUUGCCCGCUGCUCCGAUGAUUCAUGAUAACUCGACGGAUCGCAUGGCCCUCGUCGUCGGCGACGACGAUCAUUCAAAUUUCUGCCCUAUCAACUUUGAUGGUAGGAUAGGGGCCUACCAUGGUAGUGACAGUGACGGAGAAUUAGGGUUCGAUUCUCGAGAGGGAGCUCGAGAAAUGGCUACCACAUCCAAGGAAGGCAGCAAAGCGCAAAUUACCCAAUCGAAAACGGGAGGUAGUGACAAUAAAUAACAAUACCGGGCUCUUCGAAGUCCGGUAAAUGGAAUGAGUACAACCUAAAUCCCUUAACGAGGAUCCAUUGAGGGCAAGUCCGGUGCCGCCGCCCGCGGUAAUUCCAGCUCCAAUAGCGUAUAUUUAUGUUGUUGCAGUUAAAAAGCUCGAAGUUGGACUUUGGUGGGUCGGUCGGUCCCCGUGGUGUGCAAUCGGUCGCCCCAUCCCUUCUUCCCGGCGAUGCGUCUGACGACCUUUAACUGGCGGGGUCGCUCUCCGGCCUGUUACUUUGAAGAAAUUAGAGUACUCAAAGCAAGCCCACGCCUGGAUACAUUAGCAUGGGAUAACAUCACGUGAUUUCGGUCCUAUUGUGUUGGCCUUUGAGAUCGAGUAAUGAUUAUGAGGGACAGUGGGGCAUUCAUAUUUCAUAGUCGAGGUGAAAUUCUUGGAUUUAUGAAAGACAAACCACCGCAAAAGCAUUUGCCAAGGAUGUUUUCAUUAAUCAAGAACGAAAAGUUGGGGGUUCAAGACGAUCGAUACCGCCCUAGUCUCAACUAGAAACGAUGCCGACCGGGGAUCGGCAGAUGUUGUUUUAGGCCUCCUACCGCACCUUAUGAGAAAUCAAAGUCUUUGGGUUCCGGGGAGUAUGGUCGCAAGGUCAAACUUAAAGGAAUUGACGUAAGGGCACCACAGAGUGGAGCCCACGGCUUUAAUUUGACUCAACACUAGGAAACUUACCAGUCCGCAUAUAGCAAGGAUUGACAGACUGAGAGCUCUUUCUUGAUUCUAUGGGUGGUGGUGCAUGGUCGUUCUUAGUUGGUGGAGCGAUUUGUUUGGUUAAUUUCGGUAACGAACGAGACAUCAGCCUGCUAACUAGCUAUGCGGAGGCAUCCCUCCACGGCCAGCUUUUUAGAGGGACUAUGGCCGUUUAGACCACGGAAGUUUGAGGAAAUAACAGGUCUGUGAUGCCCUUAGAUAUUCUGGGCCGCACGUGUGCUACACUGAUGUAUUCAACGAGUCUAUAGCCUUGGCUGACAGGCCCGGGUAAUCUUUGAAAAUUUCAUCGUGAUGGGGAUAGAUUUUUUUUUGGUAAGUAAAAGUAA
rnacentral:rRNA from 1 species